GCCCAACUCUGAUAACUCCGCUAGGGUUUCUGUUCUUCUUCCUCCGACACCUAUCAACUUCAUUCUGCGUUCUAACACAUUGUCAAUGGUGUUUCUAUAAUUUCGAUGACUUAAAUCAAGAUGAAGAAUCUCUUUGUUUGUCUUAACUCGCGUAGUUUAGCCUUCUACUCAACCGAAACUUUCAGUUUAAUCGCGACCUCUGAACUUCGUCUCCAUCAUCGAAACGUCACAGAAUCUUCAUAUUAAAUAUCUUAUUAAUUGAAUCAAUCAUGAUGUAGCCUUCAGUGCGAUAUUUUCUUCAGCGACGACAAUAAAAAGAUAAGCAUUCGUCCGCUCGAAAUCAUCUUAUCAAUCUGUUCAAUCAACGCAAUAGAUAUAUUUCCUGAGAAAUGGCUAAUUCCAAAGUUUUUCUCUCUGAUUUGAUAUCUCUUCCACAGUUGAGGUUAGAUUGCUGCGAUUCUGGAAGCGGCCCUGGUGAACUCAUGUCCGUUGAUAUGCUAUUACGUGAUUCAAAACAUUUAGAUUCUGCUUCUUGAUUAUGAAACCUUCCCGAUUCUGUUUCAUACGAAUUUUAUUCCCGCCCACCGUAAGUGCUAACCGGGCUCGAACCUUAUCUUCAACCACCGGUGAGAAGCAAAUAGGGUUCGAGCCGGAAGAUCUUCCACCAUUGUCCAGUGAGUUCCGAUAAGGUUCAGCUGUCAGGGAGGAAGCGGCUGGUUGGAGGGGUCUCAACCAACGUGAGUUCCAAGAGAGCCAAGAAAAUCUAUAAACAAGGUGAGAAAUGGGAUCAAAUUUCAGAAGACUUUUUGGUGAGAAAGAUGAGAUUGUUUAGCCUACGAAUAAUGAUCUUGAGGCUGCUGAUCUUGAUGAAGAUGGAGUUGUUAGAGCUGCAGAGUUUAUAGUGUAUAACUGAAAGAGAUGGGGAAGACUGAUGAGAAAGAUAUCUGUGGGAUCAUGGAAGAGUUUGAGCAGCUAGAUUACGACGUGUCUGGAACUCUGACGACUUCUGACAUCGUUCUAGCUCAGAUGAAUCAGAAUCUUUGUUAUGUUAUAUAUGCACAGCACCGAACAACAACAACAAGCAGAGGAUGUUAACAAUUUUUUUUUGGAACUUUUGUAUGUUUCUGUCUGUGUUAUUUUGUAACGGCACAUUCUCACUCUUUGACUGUCUUUUUUUUUUUUUUGGAUGCUUGAGUCUAUGAUCUACAAACGUAUAGAUAUUUCGACUGAUACAAACACUUUGUGUAAUAAA